ACUUGCCGAUCAUGCUGACUCCAUCAACUCGGGCCUGGUUAACUGGCCUCCCCGAGUACACUAUUAAUAGCUGGGCUGAGCUGAAGGCCAAGU
rnacentral:snoRNA from 1 species